UAUAGUCAUUCGCUGCGCGUCGGAUGCUGCACUGCAGAUCCUGAGCUAGCGAUGAAUGACCUUCGUUGUUAUUUAUUUAUUUAUUUUAUUUAUUGUUGUAUCGCUUAACGUUACCCCAGACCACAGUUUAGUGCUUUUUUAUUUAACCUUGUUAGAGAUGCCGCUUGGCCGUGUUUUAACAGUGCUGAUGGUCUGGAGCUCCCCACAGAUCUUCAUGAUUAGUCGAAUAUGACCUGAUAAUAUAACUUUCAGUGUUUUGCAGAUCAUAUUUACUUAAACUGAACAUUGAUGUCUUGGGAAAAGAAAUGUCAAAGAAUGUACCGAAGCUGCAUCAGUUUCCCAGUAACGUUGGUUGGGAGGAACAGAUGUUGCCAGGGAGCUGAAGUCAACGGCUGACACCCAUUGGGUUGGAUUCCAGCGGGAUGGCUGAGUGGGUUUUUAACUAAGGAUUUGAAGCCAACACAGACAUUGUCUCCAGCCCAUGAAUGAACACAGAGGUUGACACGAAGCCAGAAUGAUGUUUAUAUUCCCUUGAAUCUGUCCCUGUAAGUUGAUGCAGUGGCAGAAGAGUUGUGGACUGUUCGCAGCACAUUGGUGAACUGUAAAGCUCCUCUGUAGUUAUUGUUAUCAUAACUUAUACACUUGUGUUUCAGUGUCAUUGUAUGUCAUUCAAAGGACAGUUUGAGAAAGUAACGGCUUGUUUUUGACCUCAUUUAUUUGUAUGCUGCAUUCUCAAAAAAUGUACAGUUGUCUUUUACAUCUAAUAAAGACCACUAUUACAGCUA